CGCGCGCGCGGGUGUGGAUAAUGAUCUUGACGAGAUAAAUGGGCCGGAUCAUGCGGUCAGGCCCACAUUCUAAUGGGUCAAUUAAUGGGCCGGCUCAUCAAUUUAUUCCACGACGCGAGAUCCGCACCAGAUUUGUGUAAUGCAAGCGAGAUCGCGAGACGGAAUCCGGCAGCGAGCGAGGCGAGCGGCGGGCACCGGCACGGCACCGCCGUAGCCGACUACCCGCGCGUGGAACUGUGAAGCUAGCGAUGGCGGCGUCGGGAUCGGGAGGCGAGCCCGUCCGGCCCUGGACGGCGGCCAGCACGUGGGCCCCGGCCGGCGGCGGGGCCGUGGAGGACGCCGUCUCGUUCGAGACCUCCGACUACGACGCCGAGGCUUCCCCCUCGGGCGUCGUGCUCUCCCGCCCGCCCCCCGACGGGGACGGCGACACCCCUCCCUGUGAGGUCACUGUUUGUUUCAGGGGAAAAUAUGAGAUUCAUAGGGUCUAUGUGCGAAGCACAGCUCGGAUUUAUGAAAUAUACCAUUCUACCGAUGCAAAGGGUACCAGCAAGGAUUAUCUAUGUACUGUGCGUUGUGGACUUGCCAUUAACGAACCACAGCCCUCUGGUGAAGAAAGUAUGGCUCAAUGGAGUAGCAAUGCUUCAACUAGUAAAAAACAUGAAGAGACGAAAAACGUAAGCAGUAGUAGUGAUGAAGAAAGUUGGGUUGAUGUCAAAAUCCCAGAGUCUCCUGUGGGAAAUGACACGUCAGAAUCUCAAGAAAGGAAUGCGGUUGGAACCUACCAAGAAAAUGCAUUGGCACACUAUGAAGCAACUGCUGAGAUGACUGAUGUGAGCCCAUGUGUAUCUCUUACUGUCCGUCUUCUGUCACUUCAGUCAAAGGCAUCAGUGCACAUUGAGGAGAUCUACAUAUUUGCUGAUCCUGUUGAGUCCACAAAUGAUAAUUCAGUAACAGGUCGUGGAAACAUGGGUGAUAGUUCUUUGUUGGCCAUGCUUGUUCCUGGCCUUAUGCAAAUGUCAAAAUCAAGGAGCUGGAAAAUUGAUGACAGAUAUUUUUCUCAUGGAUCAAGGACUCAACUUACCCAAGAUUGUGCAAUAAAAGAGAGCAUCCCAUGUGAAAAUAUUGCACUGGAAGCAGGGUCUUGUAGCAAAGAUGAUUCAAAAUAUACGCCAGCAGGGGUAGAAAGUGGAAUAAAUCUUACAGACGGUGGAACAGUAUCUAAGGAAAAAAGCAGCCAAUGUGACUUCCAGUUCAAGGAUCCAAAGUCUUUUCCAUUGCCUCUACAAACAGCAGAAAAUACACAAGUGCCAUCAGUGAAGGACCAGCGAGUAUCGAAUACAGAUCAGCUUGCUAAUCCCCUCAUGAAUGAAUUUUCCCCCCCUUACAAUCAUAUUGAGAGAAAGCUAGAUACUCUGCUCUCUAAGGUAGAGAAGAUAGAAUUAUACUGCUCUAGGUUUGAUGACAGCAUGAUGAAGCCCCUUGGUAGCAUUGAGGCAAGGCUUCAGCGACUGGAGCAACAGUUUGAUUUAUUCUCUUUGGAGAUUCAGUCUUUUCGAGGUUCUUCAGCUAGGAUGCCAGCACCAGAUGGUCAGUCUGAUACGACAAACUCACAGGAGAAAGCACAUAAUGUUGGUAAUGCUAGAACUACUGCUUCUAUAACUGAUAGGCAGCCAGGUCUAGCUGUCAGGGCACCAGAUUUUUCUUCAGAAGAUUCCUGUGGUUAUAAUGUAACUGAUCGAGGUUUGGCUGUCAGGGCACCAUAUUUUUCUUCAGAAGAUUCCUGUUGUUAUAAUGUAUCUGAUGAAAAUCAAGUUAGCUUUCGUGGGAGUAACAUGGUGCCAAGGCUACUUGUGAAGGUCCCUGAUUUUAUUUCUCAACCCGAGUUAACUGGCGAAAAGCUUCACAAUGGGCCUUUCUCACCUGUUGCUUUUGCUCUAUCUUCUGGAAAAGAACGUAAGACUUCCCCAGGUUUAGUUGUCAAAGUUCCUGAAUUCCCAGAUGAUGAUGAUGAUGAUGAUGAUGAAGUGGAGGAAGAGAAAGAAGCAGAAGUUGGCGAUCAUGAUGAUGGUCACACACAAUAUGAUGAUACUAUGGCCAAAAGCACCGCCGACAGCUCCAAAAGCAAAAUUCCUGUAUCUAUAAAUGGUGCAUUGGCUUCAGCAUUGGAGGCAUUACUCACUUCCACUAGAGGAACAUCAUCUUCGAAGUCUGUUGUUUGCACUGCCAGUAAUUUAGGUGCUGAAAAUACUAAUGAUUCCUCGAGCUGUUCUCUUUCUCCUGAAAAAGUUGAUGAGAUGUCCACUAAAGAUGUUUCAGCCAAUAAAUUUCCGGGUACAUUUGACAAUGCAAAUUUGGUUGGUACCUUCAUAUCUUCUCAGGAAAUUGAUGCGGCUCCACAUACUUCUCUCUCAAAGGCAAUGUUGGAUGGCAAGGUUGAGGUAAAUAAACAGAGCAAUGAUCUUAACUCGGGCAAGGUGGCAUUUGUUGCAAGCACUGAACCAUUGGGUGUUCCUUCACAGCCUCAUGCAUUUGAGGAAUCUAUUGAUGAUCAAAGUCGGGUAAGUGGACUGAACAAUGGUCCUAAUUUUGGCAUAGUGCCAUUUGUCGCAAGCACUGGACCUUUCGAUCCUCCUACAGUUUUUGAAUCUGUUGAUAGUGAGGCUCCGGUGAAUGAAAGCAGACCUGCCGUAUCCUUAGCAGAGUUUCUUGCAGCAAGGAAUGCUAUCUCUUGUAAGAAUGGUACCUCAGAGGUAUGCGGCGGUAAUGAUGGUGCUGAAUUACUGUCCUUAGAGAGAACAUUGGCUGGAGCUGGUAAAAACUCGAAAAAUAUCAGUCAACUGCUAGUGAAGAAAGCUCUUGAGGUUGAUGCGGAUGACACAGAGCUUUUUUCUAGUGUACCCGCUGUGGAAAACUUUAAAGGAUCAAGCUAUGCAACUACUGGGAAUGCCGCUAAUGGGCAUGAUAUCAAUACAAUAGAAACUGUGUCAGAUAAAGAUUGUGGUCCGGAGAAUACAGGGAACAGUGUUAGGCUUUCUGUUGGGAUGGACUCUGCAUUUUUACAGUGUAGCGCUACUGAUUCCAAGAAAAAAGGGAUUGAGAGCAGUUUGGGCUCGAGCCUAGAUGAGAGCUUCUUGAAACCAAAUGCGGAACAUUCCUGGUCUUUGAGUAGUAUGGAGUCGUUCAGUGGAGCACCUGCCAAAGAACCUGUUGUUUUAGCGACUACCACAUCAGGAAAGUAUGCGGAAGAUCUUCUUGCAGGCAUUGGAGUUGGUUCUACUGUAACCCCAAUCGCUGAGGAAGAGUUUCAAAAGGUUUGUGACUUGCUUUAUAAUUACAAGGCUAACAUGUUGGGCAUGGCCUCCACAACGAAGACAACAAGUAAGGGCAGCCCAUCCCUUGAAGUCUUGCUUGGCGAAUCAUUUGGUUCUGAAGCUCAAAUUUCAGAACUGGGGGACAUUCACAAUGAUGCCGGCAUGAGUUCAGCUCAACUGUUUAGUACAUUCACAUCUUCAGAUGAUGAUGCUGCUUCUGCUGCGGAAGAGUCUUUAGUUGAUGUUGCUGACCUGACCAGACCAUCAGAGCCAUAUGCUUCUGCCCUCAACGAGCCUUUGAUUGAUGUGGCUUGUCUGACAAACCCUUCAGGGACAUAUGCUCCUGCGGUGGGUGAGCCUUCGACUGAUGCGUUUGAUCCGCCAAACCCUUCAGAGACAUAUGCUUCUGGCGUGAACGAGCCCUGGGCCAACGUCGAUGAUCUGCCAAAACCACUGGAGAUAUUUGCUGGUGGGAGCAGUGGAGAACAUCUUGACAGUCUCAUAUAGGGUCACGGUUACUGUUCUACACGUCAGAAAUAAGCUUCUUAACAUCAUUGGUGUGUCCUGUACAGCGGUCAUCGUUUUCGUUCAAGUUUUUUUUUCUGUACAUAAAUAAAUCGUGGCGUCUGCAACAAUAUUGCUAAAUACAUUAUGACUAAACAGCCCUGAGCAUUGCAGGAAAAAGCAUAGUUACCAGACUCGCUUUAUGUUGGCACCAUUUCCAUCGGCAGUGAAGUCACCUGGGUUACAACGGAGAACAAUGCAUCCAGACGAGGUAAAUAUCGGAACACGCCAUGUUGCAUAAGCAAACAGGAGGAGGACAAGCCACAUUCUGUUCACAUGUCAGCUUGCUUGAUGCUGCAGGCUGCAGCGGUCCGAGUACGCACAUGGGCUAGUCCUGUCUAUGGGCCUGGCGAGGUCGUCCCACAAGAUGUAGAAUUUAAUACAAGGCACGGCCCACGGUGGGUCCGUGGCCAUCUAUCUUCAUUACCGUCCAGGUGCGAGGAAUCCAUGGUUUACUCAUCAUCUCCGGUGUCCUACGGUCACGUCGUUCGUCCAUUCCUUACCUCUAAUAUUUAUCGGUUGAUUUUCUCAUAUAUGAUUUUUUUGACGUACCCUCUGACAUAAGUUUUAAUAUAAAUAAACGGUUUUGAUA